CUUUGAAACACCGGUUCCCGUACGAUCAACGAAGUUAAGCCCACAUCGAGCCUGGUCAGUACCUAAAUGGGUGACCGCUUGGAAAGCCAGGCACUGUAA